rnacentral:rRNA from 1 species
GACGAACGCUGGCGGCGUGCUUAACACAUGCAAGUCGAACGAUGAUCAGGAGCUUGCUCCUGUGAUUAGUGGCGAACGGGUGAGUAACACGUGAGUAACCUGCCCCUGACUCUGGGAUAAGCGUUGGAAACGACGUCUAAUACUGGAUAUGAUCACUGGCCGCAUGGUCUGGUGGUGGAAAGAUUUUUUGGUUGGGGAUGGACUCGCGGCCUAUCAGCUUGUUGGUGAGGUAAUGGCUCACCAAGGCGACGACGGGUAGCCGGCCUGAGAGGGUGACCGGCCACACUGGGACUGAGACACGGCCCAGACUCCUACGGGAGGCAGCAGUGGGGAAUAUUGCACAAUGGGCGAAAGCCUGAUGCAGCAACGCCACGUGAGGGAUGACGGCCUUCGGGUUGUAAACCUCUUUUAGUAGGGAAGAAGCGAAAGUGACGGUACCUGCAGAAAAAGCACCGGCUAACUACGUG